UACGGGGGGGGCUAGCGUUGUUCGGAAUUACUGGGCGUAAAGGGCUCGUAGGCGGCCAACUAAGUCAGACGUGAAAUCCCUCGGCUUAACCGAGGAACUGCGUCUGAUACUGGAUGGCUGGAAUCCGGGAGAGGGAUGCGGAAUUCCAGGUGUAGCGGUGAAAUGCGUAGAUAUCUGGAGGAACACCGGUGGCGAAGGCGGCAUCCUGGACCGGCAUUGACGCUGAGGAGCGAAAGCCAGGGGAGCAAACGGG
rnacentral:rRNA from 1 species